CGGAGCGUGGCGCAGCUUGGCAGCGCACCUGCUUUGGGAGCAGGGGGUCGAAGGUUCAAAUCCUUUCGCUCCGACCA
rnacentral:tRNA from 1 species